GUAGGUGGCGACAUUCUCUCUCACACACACACACACACACAUCUGUGAAGCUCCGAGCAUCCACCUCAGAGAGGAGGAACAUAUAUUAUUUACUAUAGGAGUUUAAUCCACAAUUGUGUAAGACUCAGAUUGUAUUGGGCUAAAUAUGUUCACUCUGCAUGUAACCGCUAACCGACGGGAUCUGACGUCUUUUGUAUUCAUAUUCACCACGGGGGGGUCGCUGCUGUCAGCGUUAGCUUAGCAUAGCUUGGCUACGGAGCACGGGUAAUGUAUGUUUGUCCGGCUAAACACCGUUACUUGCAGACACAUCGUGCACUUUGGCGUCGUCGCUCAUUGCUUCAGAAUUAUCAAAGUGAAGAUACAAUCGCCAAGUCAUAGACCAAACACCGAUACACACUGGUACGGUUUAACCUUAUAACGCUUAACGUUGACGUGCUUUCUCAAAGCAGUGUGUUGAGUCCGCUAACCAAGCUAGUGAGUCGCUGGCUGGGGGUUAGCCGCUAACGCUGGAGGUAAACAUGCACCGCACAUAAAACGAUGCAGAAUCAACCUGAUGCGGCUCGGGUUCAAGCUUAGCUCAAUGAAUGGUGCACCCAGGCGAAGUGAUGCAAAGUUAUCUCCAGACGGGUGUGAUUGGGGACGCCAGGUCGCUGUGCUGAGGACCCGAUGCCUUCGCUGAGCCUCCACGAAGAGCGUGUCAGUGAUGCUGACAGCUGCUGUCCAGAUGCUUUGGCUUCCCAAAGUAGCAGAUCGGCCCUCCUACGGAAGAAAUGAUGAAAAAUUGCGAAUACCAGCAAAUCGAUCUGGAGGCACUGUCAACACCCGCCCCCACCCCUUCACCCCAACCCGUCACUGACAAUGGGAAGGAGGAGGAGAAGACGGCGAAAAAACAGCGAAGAAAGUGGGAAGUUUUCCAGGGGAAGAAUCGCUUUUGUUGCGAUGGGAGGAUCAUUAUGGCCCGGCAGAGUGGGGUGCUACCCCUCACCCUGGGCCUCAUCCUACUCACCAGUGUGUUAUUCUUCAUAUUUGAUUGCCCCUUCCUGGUCCAGCACCUGACCGUGUGCAUCCCUGUGAUUGGUGGAGCCCUGUUUGUGUUCGUGGUCAUCACACUGGUGCAGACCAGCUUCAGCGACCCCGGCAUCCUGCCCAGAGCCACCCCUGACGAAGCUGCUGAUGUGGAGAAGCAGAUCGACGACGCCGGCAACACCACCUACCGCCCGCCGCCGCGCACCAGGGAGGUGCUCAUCAACCAGCAGGCGGUGAAGCUCAAGUACUGCUUCACCUGCAAGAUGUUCCGGCCCCCGCGCACCUCCCACUGCAGUCUGUGUGACAACUGCGUAGAGCGCUUCGACCACCACUGCCCCUGGGUGGGCAACUGCGUCGGCAAGCGCAACUACCGCUUCUUCUACACCUUCAUCGUGUCGCUCUCCUUCCUGACGGCCUUCAUCUUCGGCUGCGUGACCACCCACCUUGCACUGAGGGCUCAAGAUGGAAAAGGCCUGGUGUUCGCACUGCAGGAGAGUCCUGGCAGUGCGGUGGAGCUGGUCAUCUGCUUCUUCUCCGUCUGGUCCAUCCUGGGCCUCUCGGGCUUCCAUACCUACCUGGUUGCUUCCAAUCUCACCACCAACGAAGACAUCAAAGGCUCGUGGACGGGGAAGAGUGGCGCGGAGGCGGCCACCAACCCGUACAGCCACAGAAACAUCUUCGUCAACUGCUGCUCUGUUCUCUGUGGACCCAUGCCCCCCAGUCUGAUUGACAGGCGGGGCUUCCUAUCAGCGGAGGAGGAGGCGGCUGCGGCGGCGGCGCCACAGGCUACCAGCAGAGAGGUGGAGCUGCCCGUCCUGGCCUCCAAGAAGGACAUAAAUGUGGUAGGAACGUGGCUUAUGGUUUGCAGGAAUCUCCUUUCGCUUGAACAACCCCCUAACCCAGUGGUUUUCAAACUGUGGGGCGCACCCCCCCUGGGGGGCGCCAGAGUUCUUCAGGGGGGGCAAAAAAGAAUCCCGAAAAAAACCCUGAAAGGCGAUGAUUCAAAUCAUCAGUCGUACUUCAACUGUAGAAGUAACAUAACUAAAUAAAUUUUCAACCGUUUAUCUUCGUGCAAACCAUUUCACAAACCUACACACUUGUAUCUUCAAUAAUAUCGAAACAGAAUUUCGAUAUCAUUUAAAAUUUCUUCAGAAUCACAGUUUUAGUUUCAUACCGCUUCGUUUUCAGCUGUUUUCAUUGAAGACGUCAGCCCAUUCUGAUACACCUACUUCUAGACAUCGUAACUCAUUCAUUUUUCAACCGUUUACCAUCGUUCAAACUAUUAAACAAAUCUACACACUUGUAUCUUCAAUACUAUCUGAACGGAAUUUUUAUAGCAUUUAUACUUUUUUCAGAAUCACAGUUUUAGUUUCAAACCGGCAUCGUUUUCAGUUGCUUAUAAUAAUUUAGGUCACCAUAGCAACGCCGGUAAACAAACCCCGCCGAAUAGUCGAAUCUCUGGACUGAAAAGGCAGAUCUGAUUCGACUCAGAAAAUACAGAGUCGGGGACCCUGAAUGAAUCUGUUUCAGCUGAAAAUUUUUCUCUGAGGGGGGGCUCACUCUCUCACACUUUGAAAACCCCUGCCCUAACCCCAUCCACAGCAAAAAACGUCUUCAUCGUUAGGAGAGCCUGGUUUCCUAGCAUAGCUGACCCCAUCCUGACCUCUUGACUGCGGCCUGCCAAGCCUCCAUGUUGUUAUUAAAAAUAAUUCUUAAAAUCAAAGCUUGAUUUUAAAUUGACCCCUAUGCACUGCUCAGAGUCUUUAGUCCACACUUCAGUUUCACACUCCGAUAUACUUGGUGAGAGGUUGAUGGUUCCAAUGCAACACCAUGGUCUCGCCUUAGCUCAGAAGGUUCUGCGAACACGGGCAAGAGCGAUUUUAAAGACGCCAUGCAGCACGGGGAAGAACAUGCACCGCACUGACCAACCAGCAGCAGGUGCACCAGACAUGCUUAAUGAGCUAAAGACGGCCGUUAGUCCGUUAUUCAAAUGAGAGCAGAAGAAGAAAGGGCAGAUGAGCGAUCAAAGAUGCGUCCUCGCGACGAAGGCCAGGUCCCAUUGUCGGGGGACUGGGGGAGGAUGUUCAUGUCUCUUCCUCCAUCGGCCUGAGAGGAAACGGACUCAGUGAAACAUCAGUGUCGCAUUAAGGGAAAACCAUAACACCCUAUCAAAUAAGAACAAAAACUUCUGAAAAACAGCUUUUUUUAUUUAAGUGCGGGACUAUAUUUAACGGGGACAAGCAAUAUCUUUCAAGAAAUGUGGGUGCAUGCGUCCAUAUUGUUCUAUGUUUUUAAAACCGCAUUCAAGUAGUGGUUUCGCCCAGAAUCAACCCAUAGAACCACAAUAUAACUGUCACUUUAAAUCUAAAUUAUACUCAACGUGUGUUGAAUAGCUAGGCUGUUGGUCUUAGUGCUUGCAUUUAGCGUUCUGCGUUCUUGUGAAAAGUCAAUGACUUCUGGUAAUUGCUAUAUUAUAAUAAUAGUCUAACAUAAAUAACCUGGAAAACACAGCAGGGAAGAAUCGGUGGGUUUUGGUUGUGUAUGCACUUGAUUUACAUGAAAAUAUGUGUAACGUCGACAAAAUAAAGUCCUGUCCACGACUGGUGA